rnacentral:rRNA from 1 species
AUUGAACGCUGGCGGCAUGCCUUACACAUGCAAGUCGAACGGCAGCACGGGAGCAAUCCUGGUGGCGAGUGGCGAACGGGUGAGUAAAGUAUCGGAACGUGCCCAGUCGUGGGGGAUAACGUAGCGAAAGUUACGCUAAUACCGCAUACGAUCUAUGGAUGAAAGCGGGGGACCGUAAGGCCUCGCGCGAUUGGAGCGGCCGAUGUCAGAUGAGGUAGUUGGGGGGGUAAAGGCUCACCAAGCCGACGAUCUGUAGCUGGUCUGAGAGGACGACCAGCCACACUGGGACUGAGACACGGCCCAGACUCCUACGGGAGGCAGCAGUGGGGAAUUUUGGACAAUGGGCGCAAGCCUGAUCCAGCCAUUCCGCGUGCAGGAUGAAGGCCUUCGGGUUGUAAACUGCUUUUGUACGGAACGAAAAGGCUCUGGUUAAUACCUGGGGCUCAUGACGGUACCGUAAGAAUAAGCACCGGCUAACUACGUGCCAGCCGCCGCAGUAACAC